rnacentral:rRNA from 1 species
AGUGAACGCUGGCGGUAGGCCUAACACAUGCAAGUCGAACGGCAGCACAGUAAGAGCUUGCUCUUACGGGUGGCGAGUGGCGGACGGGAGAGGAAUACAUCGGAAUCUACUUUUUCGUGGGGGAUAACGUAGGGAAACUUACGCUAAUACAGCAUACGACCUACGGGUGAAAGCAGGGGAUCUUCGGACCUUGCGCGAUUGAAUGAGCCGAUGUCGGAUUAGUUAGUUGGCGGGGUAAAGGCCCACUAAGGCGACGAUCCGUAGCUGGUCUGAGAGGAUGGUCAGCCGCACUGGAACGGAGCCACGGUCCUGGCUCCUACGGUAGGCAGCAGUGGGGAAUAUUGGACAAUGGGCGCGAGCCUUAUCCAGCCGUACCGCGUGGGUUAAGGCGGCCUUCGGUUUGUAAAGCCCUUUUGUUGGGAAAGAAAAGCAUCAGGUUGAUACGCCGCUGUUCUGACGGUACCCAAAGAAUAAGCACCGGCUAACUUCGUG